CCCGGCAAACGCCGUUCCCUGCUCGGCUCCGGCGGCCCCAGCUUCGCGCUUGCCCAGCCGCGUCCCUGAAGCGACCACACCGGGGCAGCCCCGUGACAGCCUCACGGUCGCGGGACCUUGAUAGGAAGGGUGUCUCUGCCGACAGUUCGGCUGCCGAAAGUGGUAGGAUGACCCGCAAUUUAAGAAAGGGCAAAGUCCUUUGGGUCAAAGAACCCUGAUAGAGAACCGGGAGGCGGAUCUUGGCUCCUGAAAAUGACCACCAGUGAAGUUAAUUUGUGAAGUGGAUUAUGCUGUUUGCCAAAUAUGCCCACAAUAUCCUUGGCUGUUUUCUGAGUGACUGAGACCAUUGCUCCUGGACAGAAGCUGUGGAGGCCUCAGAUAGAUGUGACUGAAACUGCGCUUGAGAUUUCCUGGUUCUUGUCACCAUCAAGGAAAGACCAGAGAUGAGACAGUGGAAGAAAUUUAUUUUAGAGUGAAAGCGCACACUUACUGGGGUUUCUCUGUGUAGCUCUGGCAGUCCUGGAACUUGCCCUAUAGACUACGUUGGCCUUGAACCUCUGUAGAUCUACCUGCCUACAGAUCUGCUCUGUAAUCCAAGUGCUUCAAUUAAAGGCGUGUACCACCACAGCCCUGCUUACAACUUUGCUAUUGGUGAGUCCUGAUGAGAAUACAAAAAGCAUGCUUGAUGUGAAGCUGCUUUUACAGUUUUUAGAAAAAAAU